AGUCGUAACAAGGUCUCCGUAGGUGAACCUGCGGAGGGAUCAUUACACAAAUAUGAAGGCGGGCUGGAACCUCUCGGGGUUACAGCCUCGCUGAAUUAUUCACCCUUGUCUUUUGCGUACUUCUUGUUUCCUUGGUGGGUUCGCCCACCACUAGGACAAACAUAAACCUUUUGUAAUUGCAAUCAGCGUCAGUAACAAAUUAAUAAUUACAACUUUCAACAACGGAUCUCUUGGUUCUGGCAUCGAUGAAGAACGCAGCGAAAUGCGAUAAGUAGUGUGAAUUGCAGAAUUCAGUGAAUCAUCGAAUCUUUGAACGCACAUUGCGCCCUUUGGUAUUCCAAAGGGCAUGCCUGUUCGAGCGUCAUUUGUACCCUCAAGCUUUGCUUGGUGUUGGGCGUCUUGUCUCUAGCUUUGCUGGAGACUCGCCUUAAAGUAAUUGGCAGCCGGCCUACUGGUUUCGGAGCGCAGCACAAGUCGCACUCUCUAUCAGCAAAGGUCUAGCAUCCAUUAAGCCUUUUUUUCAACUUUUGACCUCGGAUCAGGUAGGGAUACCCGCUGAACUUAAGC
rnacentral:rRNA from 1 species